UGAAUACGAGACGCUACGGCGUCGAAGCAGUCUAUGUCAUACUUCCAAGAAAAGCUUGCACUGUCAUAAACAAAUAAUGCCUGUACCAUAACCGACACAGGUGGGUAGGUAGAGUAUACUAAGGGGCGCGAGAUAACUCUCUCUAAGGAACUCGGCAAAAUGACUCCGUAACUUCGGGAGAAGGAGUGCCUUAUUUAUAAGGUUGCAAUAACAAGAUCCAAGCAACUGUUUAUCAAAAACACAGGUCUCCGCUAAGUCGUAAGACGAUGUAUGGGGGCUGACGCCUGCCCAGUGCCAGAAGGUUAAAGAAGUUGGUUAGCAUUAGCGAAGCUGAUAACUGAAGCCCUGGUGAACGGCGGCCGUAACGAUAACGGUCCUAAGGUAGCGAAAUUCCUUGUCGGGUAAGUUCCGACCCGCAAAAGGCGUAAUGAUUUGGAUACUGUCUCAGAGAGGGGCUCGGUGAAAUAGACUUGUCUGUGAAGAUGCGGACUACCUGCACCAGGACAGAAAGACCCUAUGAAGCUUUACUGUAACUUGAAAUUGAAAUUGGACUUUAUUUGCGCAGUAUAGGUGGGAGGCAUUGAUAAUAUUCUUUCGGGAAUGUUGGAGCCAUCAGUGAGAUACCACUCUUGUAAUGUUAGAUUUCUAACUUUGGAUCAUUAUCUGGUCAAAGGACAGUUUCAGGCGGGCAGUUUGACUGGGGCGGUCGCCUCCUAAAUGGUAACGGAGGCGCACAAAGGUUUCCUCUGAACGGGUAGAAAUCGUAUCUAGAGUGUAAAGGCAUAAGGAAGCUUGACUGUGAGACCUACAAGUCGAGCAGGGACGAAAGUCGGUCUUAGUGAUCUGACGGUGCUGAGUGGAAAGGCCGUCACUCAACGGAUAAAAGUUACUCUAGGAUAACAGGCUGAUCUCCCCCAAGAGUUCACAUCGACGGGGAGGUUUGGCACCUCGAUGUCGGCUCAUCGCAUCCUGGGGCGGUAGUACGUCCCAAGGGUUGGGCUGUUCGCCCAUGAAAGCGGUACGCGAGCUGGGUUCAGAACGUCGUGAGACAGCUCGGUCCAUAUCCGGUGUAGGCGUUAGAAUAUUGAGAGGAGCCUUCUUUAGUACGAGAGGACCGAGAAGGACAUACCUCUGGUGUACCAGUUAUCGUGCCAACGGUAAACGCUGGGUAGCUAUGUAUGGAGAGGAUAACCGCUGAAAGCAUCUAAGUGGGAAGCCCACCUCAAGAUAAGUAUUC
rnacentral:rRNA from 1 species